rnacentral:rRNA from 1 species
GACGAGCGCUGGCGGCGUGCUUAACACAUGCAAGUCGAACGGGCCUUGUCCCCUUUUUUUUUGGGGGUGGGGUUAGUGGCGAACGGGUGAGUAACACGUGAGUAACCUGCCCCUCACUUCUGGAUAACCGCUUGAAAGGGUGGCUAAUACGGGGUGUUCUGUCCUGCUCGCAUGGGUGGGUUUGGAAAGAUUCGACCGGUUUUGGUUGUUUUGGUGGGGGAUGGGCUCGCGGCCUAUCAGCUUGUUGGUGGGGUGAUGGCCUGCCAAGGCUUUGACGGGUAGCCGGCCUGAGAGGGUGGGCGGUCACACUGGGACUGAGACACGGCCCAGACUCCUACGGGAGGCAGCAGUGGGGAAUAUUGCACAAUGGGCGCAAGCCUGAUGCAGCGACGCCGCGUGAGGGAUGGAGGCCUUCGGGUUGUGAACCUCUUUCGCCAGUGAAGAAGGUCCUGCUCUUUGUGGUGGGGUUGACGGUAGCGGGGUUAAUGAAGCGCCGGCUAACUACGUG